rnacentral:rRNA from 1 species
AGUGAACGCUGGCGGUAGGCCUAACACAUGCAGGUCGAACGGCAGCACAGGAGAGCUUGCUCUCUGGGUGGCGAGUGGCGGACGGGUGAGGAAUACAUCGGAAUCUACUUUUUCGUGGGGGAUGACGUAGGGAAACUUACGCUAAUACCGCAUACGACCUACGGGUGAAAGCAGGGGACCUUCGGGCCUUGCGCGAUUGAAUGAGCCGAUGUCGGAUUAGCUAGUUGGCGGGGUAAAGGCCCACCAAGGCGACGAUCCGUAGCUGGUCUGAGAGGAUGAGCAGCCACACUGGAACUGAGACACGGUCCAGAAUCCUACGGGAGGCAGCAGUGGGGAAUAUUGGACAAUGGGCGCAAGCCUGAUCCAGCCAUACCGCGUGGGUGAAGAAGGCCUUCGGGUUGUAAAGCCCUUUUGUUGGGAAAGAAAUCCAGCUGGCUAAUACCCGGUUGGGAUGACGGUACCCAAAGAAUAAGCACCGGCUAACUUCGUGCCAGCCGCCGCCGUAA